rnacentral:rRNA from 1 species
CGUUACAUUAGAUACCCCGGUAGUCCCAGCCGUAAACGAUGCGCGUUAGGUGUAUCGACGACCACGAGUCGUCGAGGUGCCGAAGGGAAACCGUGAAACGUGCCGCCUGGGAAGUACGGUCGCAAGGCUGAAACUUAAAGGAAUUGGCGGGGAGCACCACAACAGGUGGAGCCUGCGGUUUAAUUGGACUCAACGCCGGAAAUCUCACCGGAUAAGACAGCAGAAUGAUUGCCGGGCUGAAGACUCUGCAUGACUAGCUG